ensembl:lncRNA
GUGGUGCACACAUGAAAGCAGGCUCUCAUGGACUACGUUAGAAUCUAAGCUUCAUGCACGUGGAGCUGUUACAGUUUUAUUUGUUGUUUGGAGCUGAACGGAGAGGAAAUCAUAAUGAGGGAAAAGUUUGGAUAAACUGAGAGGGAUCGAUAUGAACGCUAAGCAUGAGCCAUUCUGAUGAUUUGGCUGAUUUUUACUGCACCACCAGUGUGAAGAUGGAGAUCCUUCAGGUUUAAACGGCUACCAUCUUCUCCUGUUAAGGAAACUCUGGCUCCUGUCUGUUAGCAUGUAUUCCCUGAGCUCCCCACAGUGUCAGCAACAAUCAAAACUACAGCCAUCUUAAAAGUGCUGAAUGAUUUUAUCGAUAAAACAACCAACAAGCAGCGGCAUGCAGCCUUUUUUAAAGGCAUCUCACAGAGUGGAUCCUGCAGCUGUAAAGCACAGACUUGGUUUGAGAAUGAUUUAUCGGGCAGAUGUCAGUGUGUACAGACAGAAUGAAUCACUUCCAGCUUGUUUAAUGUAACUGAAGGCGUUCCCCAGGGUUCAGUACUGGGGCCGCUACUGUUUGUUUUAUAUAUGAACAGUCUGAGACUCUUACAGACCUUAUAGCUCUUACCCAGCAUUAUACGUGGUGUGUUCGGGUCAGAGGUCAUUUUGUAGACUCGGCUGUGCUGUUCUUAUUUAUAGAGCAGGUGAAUCUUCAGUCUGUGAGCGGCUGGUGUGGUCGAGUGUAUCUGAAAUGCUGAAGAAGUGAUGGGAGCACACAUCUUUCAGAAGUGGCGGGUGGAGACGUCCCUCAGCUCUCUCAGUCGGCCUUUGGGGAUCCAGAGAGUCGUGCACCGAGGCGCCGCAGAGCUCGGAUUAUCAGGCUCAGAAAGCCGUGAAAAUCACUGUAAUAAUUCAGAAAUUGCCUCCCCGCGUCGCGCUGCGAGCCUCUUCUUCUGUUUUGAGGAUUUGUGUUUGUGUAGUGGAGACAAAGCGGCAGCAGCUCUGUAAUCUGCUCGUUUGUUUAUGAGCGAGCUCUGCUGGCCUUUGUGGUGGCAGCAUUUUCAGCCCCGAAUCAUCGCUCGAUUUCACGCCGCUCUGAAGUUAACUGUUGCAGCUUCGACGUGAAAUAUCACCCAUACGUACCUGCUUCAGGAGGUCAGAGGGGUAAAUGUGGCUUAACAAACAUACACCUGUGCUGUUUUUAUGAGGGUAAGAGCACAGCAGCCUUAAAGCUACGACAACAUCAGUUAAAUAAAAUCAGUGCACUUAGCUUUUAUUUUAAAAUGCAGUUUUUGUUUGGAAAUAAAAGUCAUGUUUUUUGCAAAAUGACACCAAGGUCUUCAUCAGUGGUGCUGCAUGAUAAUGUAAAGCUGUCAGCCAACCAGUGGACAUCUUGGCUUUAUAAAUAUGGUUCAUGUUUACCUGUUUGACCCCUGCAGCAGGUAUUUAUCCAUCAGCAAGUGCCUGUGAAGCUGCUGCUGUUGACUUUGGAGCUGCGAUUCAGGCCUGAAAACGCUACCAGCACAGCGUGGAUCACAGCUCGAGGUGGGAUCUUCCCUAGACUAGAAACCUGGUCAGUUUAACCCCGAUGGUAAAAGUGUCCAGGAAGACUGCAGGUCAGCUGUCACGUGUACAAUAACUGCAGCGUAUUUAAUGAGCUAUGCACAGUUUAUCUUCACACAGUUUCAUAGUAUGAACGUAAAGCUGAAGGCUGAUAGGGCUGUGAAUUCUGGAGCUUUUUAACCCCCGCCCCCCGAACCAGGAAGCGGGAUCUCUCCAUAAUAUAGUAACAAAAAUGAAGAGUUGAAUAGUUUCUGCACCUGACAGGAAGUGUUGGUUUACAGGAAGUGGUUCAGGGUAAAGCAUGUGGAGAGCGUGCAGUGCCGUCGGCCUGUCUGAGGUCAGUUAAUGAUCUCUGCUGUCGGGACAAAGCCUCGCUUACUGGUUUUCCUCUCCUUUAAUGAACUCCCUCACACUUCUCAGCCCUCGCUAUCGUGGCGUUUUAUCGCUGUCCUCUGCCCUCACUUUUGUGCGUCCAGACUGGCAGAUUGAAAGGUUUUAUCUGAGAGGGUGGGAAGGUUAAAACUUAAAGGUUUUUAUAAUUCCUCUGAGUCAGACGUUCGCUCAUGUGUCUGUUUGUUGUGGUCACAUUCCUGUGGUUCGUAUUCAGCCGCUCUCUUCCUCCCACUCGCGUCCUCCUCGUGUUGGCCGUCCAGCUGACUGACGCGAUGAAUAAUGUCUCUCUGAGGCGAACGAUGAGGCACGAGCAGAUUCCCUGACAUGGGAGUGCUUUCAUGCAUAAGAGAUCACAGUUCAGGUUUGAGUCACUGCUCGUCUGUCAGUCGCCGGACUGAGCUCGUCAGCGACUGACCUCUUCCUCUCUGCUUUCACUUUUGUGUCCUCAUGACUUCCUGCCGCGAAGACAGGAAACGGGUCCCAUCAGACUUCAUGCCAUAUGAUGAGGAAAUCUGACUUUUCUGAAGAUUUUAAAGUAACUUGCAGGUUUGAGCUCUGUUUUAAGGUUCGCUGAGACACUGGAGGCAACAAUAUAGAACUGAAGGUUUGGGCUGUUCACAGGGAUCAUUUUGGGCUCUAUGAGCUUUAUUAGUGAAUAUUCAACCGUUCAGCAAGACUAAAGGCCGCUAUGAUUCAUUAUGAGUUAAUAACCAGGACCAAAUUCAGUCAGUUUUAUGUGUAUAAUGCCACUUCACAACAACAGAUGAUUAGACCCUACAAUGUUGGAGAGAAAACUCCCCAAAUCAGAUAAUGAUGGUGAUGGUGGGAAGGAAGAGCUUCUUCCAGCAGAAGCUCAGGAAGGCAUGAAAGACAAAAAUGUGAUCUAGUGAAAAAUUCCUGCGUUAGAGCAGCAAGAACUUCAAAUAUAACCUGUAACAGAAGACUCAAAAAAAUAAAACUAACAGUCAGAUAACUAGAACAGAAGAGAAUAAAAAGGUAAAAUUUUCACAAGCCAAAGGAGCUCAUCCAUGUGUUUUAUCGCAGGUCAGGGUUUCUAACCUUCUCUCCCAUCUUAUUUGAAUAAAUUAUGAACCGCAGCUUUAAAUCAGACCAACAUGAAAAAUGCAUAAAUAAACUCAUCUCAUUCAUUGCCAAUACCUUUCUGUUAUUAAAUGUCAGCCUUCUUUACACUGAUCUGCCCUGGGGCCAGCCUGAAAUGUCUUAAAUUCUGUCUGUUUUUCUUUCUUUUCUUUUCUUUCUUUUUUUUUUUAUUCUGCCGCAGUUUGGUGUCAGUUUAGCUUCACCCUGCAUGAACCUCUGUUAAAGUUUUAAUAAAACUACCACAAUAGCCUGCUUUGUUUUAGAGAAAUUACAAGCAGAUAUCAAAGAGCUGGACCUACUCGUCCUGCUGUUUACCCACAGACGCACCCUGCAGAGUGUGAACUCACCUUGAAAGCUGUAAUUUAAAGGACUUCUUUCCACGGAGAUUAGAAUCAGGUCCUCGUUGAAUCAUUUUUCUUUCCUGUAAAGGGCACAGCAUCAGGAGAGGCGACGGUAUUGACUUUUUCCUUGAUAAGGUUUUCCAGUCCGGCUUGCUGUUGAUAACCUGACGGCACGGCCGGGCUGGUUGAGGCCUCGGCGAGCGGCUUACCGGCUGACGCUGUGCACAGUCAGCAGCCAGUCCGGCCACAAGGCUCAGUUUAUCAUCAAACGCUGAGUUACAUAGAGUCAGCAUGCUUCAUCGCACAGCAGCAAGUCAUACUUCAACAAGACGAUGCCCAAAAAACUAAAGACAACAGAGGAAACUUUUCACCUGUGUUACAGAUUUUUAUGAACACAUCAUGUUUCUAUUUGGUGAAUAUUUCACAUCAAAUUAAGCUUCGAGAUAAUGAAGCUAGUGGAACAGAGACUCACCAAUUGUGAGAGUGGGAAGAAAAAAAACAAAAAGGAAAAGUCGAGCUGGGCACCAAAAAACAUAUAAUCCAUGCCCCAAAAUGUAAAACUGAGGACCUACAUAUCAAAUGAAUCUUCAAGUAACUGAAUAUGCAGUCAUCAGGCUGCUCUCAAAGCUCCUGAUCCAAAACGCUGCUGUGUGUGUAAUGGAGACUAGAAACAGUAGAACCCAGUCACUGGUGGAGACAGAGUCGACCCAAUCAUGUGACUCUUUGAAGAAAUAGCUGAAUGACAUCAGAUGACCCUGACCAGCAAUCCAGCCAGUCAGAAAACACGACGCAGGAAGAGCUGGGGCCAUAUGAUGUGCAUAUAACUGAACUUUCAAAAUAAGAGCGAGGUCAGAUUAAAAACAUGGCUGUGGUCCAUCAUGUGGGCAUGGCAGGGUCAGGUAACAACUCACAAAGAUGGCCUGGCAUGCUCGGGAGUCUCGGGAGGUUAAAACUUAACAGGUUAACCAGAGGAAGCCUUUCAGAGGAGAGUGACUAAAGCACUUUGGACUACUCUGACCUGGAAGACUGAGAAACUGUUUGCCCCUCUUUGGGUCUCUGUAGUUUCAGGUUCCUGAUGAGAACCAUGUUUGUGGUUCUGUAUGGAUUUAUUUUUGAUGGAAACAGAUUAUAUUCUGGAACCGGAACCUUUUCUGGGUUGUUAGAAAACAAAAAACCCGCUCUGAUUGGUUUACAUGGGGCCGACUCUUGUUUUGACGCCACCUGUCCCAAACCUGACGGAUGAACCCUCUGACACUAACUGUUGAUCCUCCUCCGUGAACAGGAGGUGGGAUUGUUUGGGUCCGAUGUCACUUGGUGCUUUAAUCAGUUGGAGGAGAGCGUGUAUGGACAGGGGGGUGGUGGUGGUGGUGGGGCUUCCUGUACACAUCUGAUUCAAUCAACCCUGAGACUGACAGGAUGACGGCUGCAGCAGCCUGCUGCUCCCAUAACCCACUUCACCGCCGUCUGUCAGAGAGCGAGAGAGAGCUCAGUGCAGCUUCUCUGCCUCAUCCUGACAGCGUUGCAUCGGAUUUUCAUCACGUUCCUGCAGCUGCUUUUCCAAAUAGCAGGAAAAUGUUUGUUACUUCCGUGAUGCACUGCGAGGUUUGAAGUUCGGUGCCGUUGAACAAUAAAACAUCAGAUGAAACCUGAAAAACAGGAACAGCAGAUUAAAUUCAGAUUAGAUUUACAGUUAAAAUAAAAUGUUGUCAGACUGAACUCGAUGUUUGAUAGAGAACGGAGGCGGAGAUGAAGGAUUACUGUGACUGACAGAUGGUAGAAAUGUAUAUACUGUUCAGCCCACAUCAGGCGGGUGGUGCCAGCUCUCAGCUGAAGAGAAAGUUUCUCCUUUCAAAGGGACAACUUCAGUUGUUCAACAUAUAUACACUACCUGCCUCACAUGGAGACCGAU